AGAUCCAUGUAGAAGAACCGGAGAACUCAGAAGAAGACAAUGCGAGAUUCCAACACACAAAGGAACCAGAAAACCCCGAUAUAGGAGGCCUGACACGGCCACCCGUGUCACCUGACACAGGCCGUGUCAGGGAAAGGGAAGCUAAUGAAGGAAAACAAUAGCCUGAUACGACCACCCGUGUCAGUUGACACGGGCCAUGUCAGGCAGAAACCC
rnacentral:lncRNA from 1 species